ensembl:lncRNA
GGGAAAGGCGUGUGCCUUUCCUCCCUCACCUCGCGGGCAGCUUUCCCGCUGCCGCCGCCGAGGAAAGCAGCGGGAAAGGUGCGCGUGGGGUGAGAGAAGAGAGAAAGGCUAAUGCCUUUUCCUCGUCCCGCACACACCUUUCCUGCUGCCACCGAAAAAGGGACACACGGGGUGAGAAAAAGGCAUGCGCCUUUCCUCCCUCGUCCCGCAGGCAUCUUUCUCACCGCUGCCGCUGACGAAGGCCUUUCCUGCCUCCUCGCUCGCCUUGCACGCUCCUUUUCCGCCACCUCCCUCACCUGGGAUGGAGGAGUCAAAACAACAAUGGAGGCAUGCCUGUGGCAAAAGCCAGAGGUGGUAACUUUGCUUAUUCAAGAAAGAAGGAUCUUUGCUCCGUGUUCCUGUAUCUUGCUUCAAAUAUCAGCCUUGCCGUGAAUCCAGUGGAAUAAGGUUUGUUCUUAAGUUUAAUUUGUAUGUAAGUUGGAACAAUGUAACUCCAUAUUAAAGGUAAAGGUUUCCCCUGACGUUAAGUCCAGUCAUGUCUGACUCUGGGGGUUGGUGCUCAUCUCCAUUUCUAAGCCGAAGAGCCGGCAUUGUCCGUAGACACCUCCAACGUCAUGUGGCCGGCAUGACUGCAUGACAUUUAAUAUUUAAAUCUCUUUCGUUCUUCCUGACAUGUGUAUAUGUGUGUGUGUGUGUGCUUUGGACAGCAUAGACAAGGCUUAACACUCUUGUGGGGUUCGUUUUGCUGUCUGUGCCCCUGUUCCGAUUUUGCCUCACUUUUUAUCCCUAUGAUACUUGGAUUUUAAAAAACAAGGAUUGGUGCUAGAGCUUCAGCUGAGACACCUUUUCCCCAUGAUAACUUUUCCAGGAGUGAAUUUCACUUUUGAGGAAUCAAUUCCUUUCACUUCCUGUUGUCUCGCCCCUGUUCUUAAAUAUGAGUAAUUUAGAAGUUGGAUGUCUGUAACUCAGGGACUGCCUUUAUUUUACAUAAUUGUAGUAUUGAUUAUUUUAAUCAUUGAUACAAUAUUUUAAACAUUUUUAAAAAAUGGAUCUUGCUUUAUGAAACUGAAUAUCACAUAUAUUAUUAAAAUAUUUUAUUGAAUUAAGAGUGUAAUGUUGUGCCCAUUUACUUUGUAGUAAGUCCCGCUAAAUGUAGUUUGGCUUGCUCUUUGACACUACUUUAGACCUGCACAAGUUUCCAGGUUUCACUUUUAUUAUGUUACUAGCUUGGGUACCCGGCAUUGCCUGGGUUAACUGAAAAAGUCAAUUUUUAAUUGUACAAAAUGCAUAAGGUUGUGGGUGAACUACAACUCACAUCAUGCCAGGUUAACCCCAAAAAACUCCGUCAGUACUUAAAGUUUGUUAUGAUGGGCAAGUUUGCUCUAGAUGCAUUACUGGUGGGGUUCAGUGUGCUCUCUGGCUGUAGGGGAAGCUACAACUCCCACUAUGGUGAGUCAAUACCCUUAAACCCCUCCACUAGGUUGAAUUAGUCAUGGGGGUUCUGUGUGCCAAGUUUAGCCAGGUCCAUCAUAGGUGGAGGUCACAGUUUCUCUGGUUUUGGGUAAACUACAACUCCCAGAAAGGUAAUACAAUUUCGGUAUAUGAGGUAUGUGUGCCACAUUUGGUCCAGAUCCAUCGGUGUUUGGGUUCACAGUGCUCUCUGGAUGUAGAUGAACUACAAUUCCCCCAAAUCAAAGUGAAUUUUCCCCAAAGACCUCCAGUAUUUUUUGCUGGUCAUGGGGGCCCUAUGUGCCAAGUUUGGUCCAAUUUCAUCUUUGGUGGAGUUAAGAGUGCUCACUGAUUGCAGGUGAACUAUAAAUCCCAUUAUUUACAACUCCAAAAUGUCCAGGACAAUUCACCUCAAAACCCACCAGUAUUCAAGUUUGGGAAUAUCGGGUAUGCAUGCCAAGUUUGGUCCAGAUCCAUCAUUGUUUGGAUUCAUAGUGCACUCUGGAUGUAGGUAAACUACAACUCCCAUAAAUCCCUCCAAAGGCCUCCAGUAUUUUUGUUGGUCAUGGGUGUUCUGUGUGCCAAGUGAGUUCCAGGUCCAUCGUUGGUGGAGUUCAGAGUGUUCUUAGAUUGCAGGUGAACUAUACAUCCUAGUACCUACAACUCUAUAAAUCAUGGUGAAUUCUCCCCAAAUCACUCUAGUAUGUUUAGUUGCUGAUUAAUUCCUCUGUUUGUUGUGUGCCACAGAAAAGGAUAGGAAAGGGUUAUGGGAGAGGCAGUGGGCGGGGUCAUAAAAUUCCACACUAAUGGAGAGAGUAAGGAAUACUGAGAUGUCUGUGGUAAAAGAAAAAACAGAAAAUCUAGGAUGAAAUUGUCCCCAUAUGAAAGCCUUCACUUGGAUGGUGGGCAGUAUGAUGUUUGUGGAGGACAACAGCAGAAGUCUUGGACAUGUUCAUUGCUCUCUGUAUAAACUGCAGUUUCAUUGGUGUGGUGUCUCCUAGGUGGUGGGAACUAUAGGUGUUUGUGGAGGCAGAAGCUUGUCUAUGUACGUGAACACCCCAGACACAUACAUAUUUUCACUUUUAUUAUGUGUAUAGAUUAACAAUGUUUCACUGAAUCUAACAAAGAUGUUAUAUUUUCCGACGGACAGAACGUUCAAGGCUAUGACUAUCACAUGAUUCACAGUUUUUUAGACUGGAACUGGACAAUACUGUAUUUCUAGGUUGUAGCACUUCCUCAAAAGAGGAUUUUGUCUGUUCUUUCAGUGCUGAUGAAAAAAAAACCUGAACAAUGUGAAGACUUUACAUUAAGUGUAUGGACUAUUUUUCAGUUAUAUUUACCAACUGUGAAAUUUCCCCUCAUAUCAUAGUUUUGCAUAUUUAUUCAAAAAGACAUCCUACAGUGUAUAAUAGGCUGUACUCUCAAAUAAUUGUGCAUAACGGACAUUUUUGAAUUUCAAAACACUAUUCAGAAAUAUAAACUUUUAUAAUAUAACUUUCUAUUUUGUGAAUGGGAUAUUCAAUAACUAUUCCAAAAGUGUUAUAAUAACCUCCUGGUUGUGAUGGACAUGAUUUGUACAUAUUUAGGUACUUUUUUCUUAGAUGCUCUACACUCACUGUCUGUGCUAAUAUUUUCAACUGUUGGGAAAAGUACUUUCAUUGCUGAAUGUAAUUAGAAGCUCCUAAAUCAAGGUGCAUACAUCUGAAAGAGCAAACUACUGGUAAUGCUACAUAGGUAUUGCAUACUCUUCUCUCCUCACAUUAUUAUUGUUUUAAAGGUAGUUAUGAAGUAGCUGAUUCACAUCAACAAAUUUAUAUUUGCUACUCGCCACUGGUAAUGUUACAUAGGUAUUGCACACUCUUCUUUCCUCACAUUAAUAUUGUUUUAAAGGUAGUUAUGAAGUAGCUGAUUCACAUCAACAAAUUAAUAAUUGCUACUCGCCACUUAUGUCUAAAAAGUACAGUUUGUCUCCUUGAAAGUGCAACCCCCCCCCAGAUAUAUGGUGGACUUCAUUUAAUGCAAAAUACUAAUAAAUAUUUCAAAGCUACAUGUAAUUUUCUCUACCUGCUAUACUAACAUCAAAUGCCUCACUAAUGUAAUUUUCUCUACCUGCUAUACUAACAUCAAAUGCCUCACUAAUGUAAGAAGUAGAAAAUAAAUUAUUUUAACCCUCCUGUUAAACAUUUGUGUGUGUAUAUCUCAAAGCCAUUUUUUGCUCUUGUUCGGAUCUAUUUAACUUUGACUGCGUUUGUGUUCUUCGU